rnacentral:misc_RNA from 1 species
UUUAACAAAUAAUGUGCGCGUCGUUUUUACGAGCGACGUGCGCACGUUGAUGAGCUUUUCCGAAAAAACCAGGUUUUUUGGUGGCGCAUAAUGAACAGCGUGGGCUUUUUCUUCGAUUCUCGUGUAGUAAAUCUUCAACGCUCGGGUUGAGAAAAAGUGCGUGCCGCGCAAUGGGUGUGGCGAAUUUUACCCCUGCCCCAAUGCCACUCUUUCCCUGCGAAAGAACAAUCUUUUAU